GAGGAAUAUUGGUCAAUGGACGCAAGUCUGAACCAGCCAUGCCGCGUGCAGGAAGACGGCUCUAUGAGUUGUAAACUGCUUUUGUACGAGGGUAAACUCACCUACGUGUAGGUGACUGAAAGUAUCGUACGAAUAAGGAUCGGCUAACUCUGUGCCAGCAGCCGCGGUAAUACGGAGGAUUCAAGCGUUAUCCGGAUUUAUUGGGUUUAAAGGGUGCGUAGGCGGUUUGAUAAGUUAGAGGUGAAAUCCCGGGGCUUAACUCCGGAACUGCCUCUAAUACUGUUAGUCUAGAGAGUAGUUGCGGUAGGCGGAAUGUAUGGUGUAGCGGUGAAAUGCUUAGAGAUCAUACAGAACACCGAUUGCGAAGGCAGCUUACCCAACUAUAUCUGACGUUGAGGCACGAAAGCGUGGGGAGCAAACAGGAUUAGAUACCCUGGUAGUCCACGCAGUAAACGAUGAUAACUCGUUGUCGGCGAUACACAGUCGGUGACU
rnacentral:rRNA from 1 species